rnacentral:lncRNA from 1 species
GGACGGUCGAAGGUCCGACAGUGACAGUCGAUGGCAGUGGGACAAGAGACAGCCGGCGGCAAGGAUCGUCUGGUGAGAAUUUAGAAGAAUUUGAAAAAAUAGGGGACCGCCUCUCUUUCCUUGAAUUUCUCCGGUCAUUGGCCGAUCAUCGGUGGCCAUGACCUUCGGAGAAGAUAGGUAGAGAGGUCGAGAUCCAAACCUAGAGGUGAGAUGCUGCAAACAACGAUAUCGGUGGUUGGAAAAGAGAAGGAGAUGGCUCGACCAAAUAGAGAAAAAUAGAGUCUUACCUUUUUAUGGAUUUUCCGACGAACCCGACGGCCAGCGAGGAUGUGCCAUGCCAUAGAAAGGAGGGGAAGAAAGAGAGAAAGGAGGGUCGGGGCUUAUCUCCGACUUCGGUGAGAUCUCCGAUGAGAAUUUGAGGCAAACACGAAGAGAGUGUCGGUGGCUUCAACAGAAAAAUCUGAGAGAGAAUGGAGAGAAAUCGGUGCUCGUCAUGGCCGGCUAUAAAGGAGGAAGGAGAGGUUUUAUAGAGCUCUUCCUAGGAUUCCUAGUUGCCUUAAGAGUCCUUAAUCUAGUCAGGCAAGGGGAGGAAGAAGAAGACUCCCGUUGGGAGUCUUCGUUCAAUUUUUUUUUCCUGUGGGCUUAAUGGGCCAUAAUUGGGUGGACUUGAUUUUUAAAACAGGAUAUUACAUUCUACCCCUCUUAAAAAAAAUUUCAUCCUCAAAACUUGACAUAUUUGAGGUUUCGAACAUUAAAAUACAUAAUCCUCAUAUUGUCCUUAAGUUUUUAAAUUAUUUACAUUUUAAAGUACUUAUUCCAUGAGUUUUUAACAUGAAUAAUUAUACGGUAUUUCGAAACA